ACGAUGCAAUCAGCAUGCUGAUUAAGGUUGCUUGGUUUUUUACUAAACAUUAACUGAAUGAAAACGGUUAGUCCUUGUUGUUCUGCUUGGGGGGCUUUCGCGAAGCAAAUGGACUUUCAGAACAGAGAUUGUCAAUAAAGGUCACCUGGUGCUUUACACAACAUGUAGGAAGAUAUUAAUGUCUGAAGAGCUUAUGGGCUUCAGUGGACUUACUCUGGAUUUACGCUGAUUUGUCUGAGCACAUGUGCAUCUACAGAAUUCAAUUUGAAGUCAUCUACAGAAAAAACAGACCUUUAAGAGGGUUCCAGAAUCACCCAAGGAGGAGAAACUCAGCAGGAGCAGAUACUUGUAGUAGAAACAAGCAGCAUGGAGAAUGGACACAUUAUCCAAACAUGUGACUGCAUGAACUAUAACAGUUACCUUUGCCCCUACCACCCAAACUGUAUUGUUGACUAUACUCCUAUGGUGCAUCUUUUUCCCAAUUAGUUUGUGGUAGGGGCCAUAUCUACUCUGUGUGUGUCCGCAUGCAUGCGCACAUGCAUGCAUAGCAUCCAACACAAAAAAAGCACCAAUCCUGUACUAUAUAUUUAUGCUGUACUGUAACUAGUGGUCUACUUAAAUUGCACGGAAACUUGCCAAUUUUCA